rnacentral:lncRNA from 1 species
CCUUCAUUUACGUUCCUGCUAAACCCAUGGCUUAAGUGGGGCUUCUGUGCUAGAGAGAUUUUGCACUGGCUGUCUGCCCAGGGGAGGACUGCAGCAGGAGUAGACUCUGACAGAAAUAGGUGGUUAUAUGUGUAGACCUCUAAGUCUUGAAACAAGAAUAUCACUGCUAGAGGUCAAGGUUUAUGCCUGCCAGUAUUUCCCUCGUUUACUAAAGUCAGUUGACUUUCCCUUGCCAGUGCUGGCUAUUUUUGUAACAGUCUCACAAUGGUGGGGAUUUUCUCAUUUCAGUCCCUACAGAAACGACAAAGCUUUGGAUACUACUGCCUCUGGAGACUUCAUGAAGAAGUUCAAACUCUGUGUUUUCAUGUUAAAAUUUCUUCUAGACCAUUGGUUUACAAAGCUCAGGAUGCGAGCUGGCACAUUUGAAGGAAGAAGGAACCUGAAAACUGACAUCGCUGACAACACCUGCCUCAGCUUUCUGUGUUCCCAGUGGAAUCCAGCUGCGGAAUUCUAUGUCUCAUUCCACUUUUGACCUUGAAGAUCUUCAAAAAAAAUUAAAGGAGAAAGGAAGGGAAAGCCUGGAGAAAGUCUGGCAGCCAUAAAACAUUAUGAUUUUUGCACAUCAAACUGAUAUAAAGGAUCCGAUAGAUGUUCGUAACUGAAUUUACCAGUGAGGGAAAAGGAAGAAGACAGACCAAGCUCCAGAGAGCUGGGCUGAGGCUGGAUGCAAGCUCAUUUCACAGUAAAACUCUCACCACAGGAAAAACUGGGUGCCAGUGUCUGAGGGGAAUGCUAGCAACAGUGCUGUCAGUGACGGCACUAUAGUUACUGACCAUCUGGGAG